rnacentral:rRNA from 1 species
AGUGAACGCUGGCGGCAGGCCUAACACAUGCAAGUCGAGCGGCAGCGGGUCCUUCGGGAUGCCGGCGAGCGGCGGACGGGCGGGGAAUACAUCGGAAUAUGCCCUGUCGUGGGGGAUAACCUAGGGACACUUAGGCUAAUACCGCAUACGACCUACGGGUGAACGCGGGGGAUCGCAAGACCUCGCGCGACUGGAUGAGCCGAUGUCCGAUUAGCUAGUUGGCGGGGUAAAGGCCCACCAAGGCGACGAUCGGUAGCUGGUCUGAGAGGAUGAUCAGCCACACUGGGACUGAGACACGGCCCAGACUCCUACGGGAGGCAGCAGUGGGGAAUAUUGGACAAUGGGCGCAAGCCUGAUCCAGCCAUGCCGCGUGGGUGAAGAAGGCCUUCGGGUUGUAAAGCCCUUUUGUCCGGGAAGAAAACGUGUGGGCUAAUACCCCGGGGGGAUGACGGUACCGGAAGAAUAAGCACCGGCUAACUUCGUG